GGAAAUACUUCUUCCUCUGACCCCUUUCCGUAAACUUUUACUUCCGGGGUCCGAAAAGCCUUAAAGAAACAUGUAGAAUACCUUGUGAGCUUUGGCCUUUCAAGGUGCUAAAGCUUAGGCUUGAGGAAAGCUUUAUGGGGCUUGCCAGCUAUGUGAACCGUAAAAUGAUGAGUAUGUAGAAUCCUUUAUUUAGCGUUUACAUGUGCUGAGCCAUUAAAAUAUUGAAACAAAACAGUCUUUGCUGUAUAGAGUUUACAUUCUACUGGAGAGAGACCUAAAAUGAGCUCACAAAUAAAUAGUGUGGUGAGCUAUAAAGAAAUCCACCAUAUGGGAAAAUUAGAACAGGAUAAAAAGAGGAUGAGAGGGUAGAGGGGCAGGUUGCAGCUUUUAAAUAGGAUUCUCAGAGUAGGCUUCAUUGAAAAAGUUACAUUGCACAAAGAUUUCAAGAAGGUGAAGGGGUAAGCUAUGCAGUUUUCUGGGGGAAGAGCUACUAAUCUGAGAAAAACUGAUUAGGAGAAAAGCUGGUCAAGCAAAGGAAACAUACAGCCCCAAGGCUCUUAGUAGCAAGCCUGGCAUGUUUAGUAAACAGUAAUAGAGGCCAAGAGUCAUAUGCAAAAGGAGAAGAAUGGGUUAGGAGUGACAUUGUGUAGGAGUUUGUAAAUAUUUGGUUUUUAUUUUUUGUGAGAUGCAGAUUUGAAUGAUUUUGAAAGAAAUGACAAGAUCAGACAGCUUGAAAGCAUCAUUUAGACUGGAGAAAACAUUAGAGGAAGGAAAGUGAAAGGAGGGGAGAAAUGAUAGUGACUUGAAGCAGAGUGGUUCUAAUGGAGGUGGUGAGAAGUGAUCAGAUUCUUUUGCAGAGUCCUGAUGACUGAAUGAAGUGCAUGAGAGAAAGAGUCAAGGAUGACCUCAAGACUUCUGAACUGAGCAACUGGAAGUUUGAAGGAUGGAGUUACCAUCAGUUGAGAUGGUAGAAACUUCAGGUGGAGCAAAUUUGAAGGUUUGAAUGUCUUUCACCCAUGCAUGAUUUUGUAACAUCAUGUAUUCACUGAGUUAUGUGUAUUUUCCAAAAGUUGACACAUUUCUUUAAACAAUAUCACAAAACCAAAUUUGUUAAAAUUGCUGCUAAUCUCAUCAGGAAAGUCCUUCAUUUAUGGUAAGCUGUGAAACUUACAGUGGUGAGUAGAAGUUUUCUGAAUUUCUGAUUUUCACUUGAAUAGGGUCUUUCUUGCCUCCAGGUUACCUGUGGCAGUGCCCAUAAGGCAGUGCAGGAGGUAGAAGCAAGGAUUAAGGGGAGUUCUGGGUGGUGAGGACCUCUUGUUGAUGAACUUUCCAGGGCUGUUUUUCAGACUAGGCCAUAUCUGUUACUUUCUUUCACACUUGGAUCCCUGAAUACUGGCUUACUUUUCCAUUAUAACCAUUAGUCAGCAAGAGCAACCGUAUCACAAACCCUGAGUAUAUUCUGAGAGUCUACUUUCAGAGGCAAUCUGAGGGGGUUCUUUCUGGGGGUGCUUCUGCCCUGCUCAUUUGUGCAGGAUGCAAGUUACCAUCAUACCAUACGAUGGAUCCUAAGGCAGCGUCUUGGGAGAACCGAAAUUUAUGUUAUUUGUUGCUUAUGGUUAAGCUUUUUUCUUCUUUUCUGGCCCACUAUGGAAAGGAAUGCAUUCUUAAAGCCUCUCCUCUUCUUGAGGCAGUCAACAAACCUUUUCAAUUUUUCUGAAGUUUCCUCCUUUUUUCCUAUAGCAACCCAAUGAAAUAAGAGAUAAAAAUUAUUUAUAUCUAAUAGGGAUGAUAAGGUCCUAUAUAAUGUUGGUCUUUGGUUCCAAAAAAUUAAAAGAAAGCUAAACUUCACUUAGGGGGAAUAACAGAAGUCAGUCGCUCCCCUGGAAUUUCCAUCACGAGAGCCAGGAGGGCCUCUGGGAGACAGAGAGUUAAGGAGAUAGAACAGUCUGAGGAACUGAACGUGUGUUUGUGAGAUCAGCAGUAGUGAUAUGGACAGAAACUACAGAAUUGGAUUACAUUCUUAUCCUCUGUAUUUUUCCCUAUAUCACUCUUACUAGAUUGAUGCUAUGGUACAAAAUGGUAUUAGGGAUAAAAAACCCCUUAGUAAGUGAUUGAGUUCCAAAAGUUUCCACCAUAUUCCGGCAUAUUACAGGAAGAUUUUUAAUUUAGUUUCCCUAUAAUUAGACCUCCUUUAUUCUAAAGACUAGAGUACAGGAUACAGAUUAGUGUACUACAAAAUUUUCCUUAGUCAAAGGCACUAUUUCUAUGACAGAGACAUGCUAUAAAGUACUAGUAUUCUCCAGGAAUCGUGGAUGCUGGAAUAUCUUAUAUUUGCUAAAAUCUUCAAAAAGCCUAUAUAUCUAUGUGAAGUAUGAUCUGUGGAGCAGCAGCAAUGACAUCUUGAUAGAUACUUGAAUGGAAGCUUGAUAGAAAUGCAGAAUCUACUGAAAGAGCCCCAGGUGAUUCAUAAAACACAUUAAAGUUUAAGAAACACUGCUGAAGAUGUGUGUUACAUCCCUCACCCCUAUUAAUUUUAUUGAUCAAUUGGUGGUCUUAUUUCAGGCCAAAAAUUUAUGGCUGGUUUAUAAUGAUAUUUUAUUUUGCUAAAAACAGUAUUUUAUUAUUUUUAAAUGAUUGCAUUGCUUGAAGGGAGGACAAACUGUUGGGAACUAUUGUGGAGUUCUCAUUUAUUUUUUAACAUUUAUAUAAUAUUUGUAUAAUAUUUAUGUAAUACUAUAUAAUUUAUGUAACACUAACAUUUAUUUUCUAACUUAGUCCUUGUACAGACUUGGAAUAAGAUUAAGCAGAUACUUAUCUGACAGGUAAGCAACAUAUGAAUCCAGACACCUAUGAUUAUAUCUUGUCAGAAAAAAAUGGCUAGCCUUUCCCUUCAGGCAACUAUCAACAAAAUUGAUUCUCAUAGUGCUAGGACCAGCAGCAUUCACAUAACCUGGCAACUUGUGAGAAGUGAAGAUGUCUGGGACUCAGAAAUCAGUGUUUUAACAAGCUCUGCACAUGAUCCCGAUGCACACCCGCAUUGGAGACCCACUGGUCUUGAAUCAUUAUUACCUUCUGAUACAUAAAAGUAGACCAUUUAAAGAUUUGUUUCUCUGGAGUUUAUGAAAUGGUUGAUUUUUGAAUCUCAGCUAUACAACAUAAGGUCUCCUCCUGCUAAAUGCAAUGUGGUAUAUGAAUUGAAUCCUGGAAUUUAAAAAAGACAUUUGUGGAAAAAGAAUGAAAUCUGAAUAAAGUCCAAAGUUCAGUUAAUAGUAAUGUAGCAAUAUUGGUUCUUAGUUUGAAAAAUGUAAUGGCAAUCUUGAAAAAUGUAUGGCAAUGUAAAAUGUUAACAUUAGGGAAACAGUGUGAGGGUAUAUAGGAACUCUAUUAUUUUUGCAACAUGUCUCUAAAUCUAAAAUUAUUCCAAAAUAAAAAAUUUC